rnacentral:rRNA from 1 species
CCUACGGGUGGCAGCAGUGAGGAAUAUUGGUCAAUGGGCGCGAGCCUGAACCAGCCAAGUCGCGUGAGGGAAGACGGUCCUAUGGAUUGUACACCUCUUUUGUCGGGGUGCAAAAGACGCCACGCGUGGCGUUCCGAGAGUACCCGAAGACAAAGCCUCGGCUAACUCCGUGCCAGCAGCCGUGGUAAUACGGCGGAUGCGAGCGUUAUCCGGAUUUAUUGGGUUAAAAGGGUGCGCAGGCGGAAGAUCAAGUCAGCGGUAACAUUGAGGGGCUCAACCUCUUCGAGCAGUUGAAACUGGUGUUCUUGAGUGAGCGAGAAGUAUGCGGAAUGCGUGGUGUAGCGGUGAAAUGCAUAGAGAUCACGCAGAACUCUGAUUGCGAAGGCAGCAUACCGGCGCUCAACUGACGCUCAUGCACGAAAGUGUGGGUAUCGAACAGGAUUAGAUACCCCUGUAGUC